rnacentral:rRNA from 1 species
UACGAAGGGGGCUAGCGUUGCUCGGAAUCACUGGGCGUAAAGCGCACGUAGGCGGACUCUUAAGUCGGUGGUGAAAUCCUGGAGCUCAACUCCAGAACUGCCUUCGAUACUGGGAGUCUCGAGUCCGGGAGAGGUGAGUGGAACUGCGAGUGUAGAGGUGAAAUUCGUAGAUAUUCGCAAGAACACCAGUGGCGAAGGCGGCUCACUGGCCCGGUACUGACGCUGAGGUGGCGAAAAGCGUGGGGAGCAAACAGG